AUUGAACGCUGGCGGCAGGCCUAACACAUGCAAGUCGAGCGAGCGGCGGACGGGUGAGUAAUGUAUGGGGACUGCCCGAUAGAGGGGGGUAACUACUGGAAACGGAGGCUAAAACCGCAAACUGUAGUAUGCCCCAGAUGGGAUUAGCUAGUAGGUAAGGUAAUGGCUUACCUAGGCGACGAUCCCUAGCUGGUCUGAGAGGAUGAUCAGCCACACUGGGACUGAGACACGGCCCAGACUCCUACGGAGGCAGCAGUGGGGAAUAUUGCACAAUGGGCGCAAGCCUGAUGCAGCCAUGCCGCGUGUAUGAAGAAGGCCCUAGGGUUGUAAAGUACUUUCAGUCGGGAGGCGUUACCGACAGAAGAAGCACCGGCUAACUCCGUGCCAGCAGCCGCGGUAAUUC
rnacentral:rRNA from 1 species